GUACCAGACUCCUACGGGAGGCAGCAGUGAGGAAUAUUGGUCAAUGGGCGGGAGCCUGAACCAGCCAAGUCGCGUGAGGGAAGACGGCCCUACGGGUUGUAAACCUCUUUUGUCGGGGAGCAAAGCGAGUCACGUGUGGCUCAUUGAGAGUACCCGAAGAAAAAGCAUCGGCUAACUCCGUGCCAGCAGCCGCGGUAAUACGGAGGAUGCGAGCGUUAUCCGGAUUUAUUGGGUUUAAAGGGUGCGUAGGCGGAAUGCAAAGUCAGCGGUAAAAUCGCGGGGCUCAACCUCGCUCCGCCGUUGAAACUGGCGUUCUUGAGUGGGCGAGAAGUAUGCGGAAUGCGUGGUGUAGCGGUGAAAUGCAUAGAUAUCACGCAGAACUCCGAUUGCGAAGGCAGCAUACCGGCGCCCAACUGACGCUGAAGCACGAAAGCGUGGGUAUCGAACAGGAUUAGAUACCCGUGUAUUG
rnacentral:rRNA from 1 species